UACGUAGGUGGCAAGCGUUGUCCGGAUUUACUGGGUGUAAAGGGCGUGCAGCCGGAGAGACAAGUCAGAUGUGAAAUCCACGGGCUCAACCCGUGAACUGCAUCUGAAACUGUUUCCCUUGAGUGUCGGAGAGGUAAUCGGAAUUCCUUGUGUAGCGGUGAAAUGCGUAGAUAUAAGGAAGAACACCAGUGGCGAAGGCGGAUUACUGGACGAUAACUGACGGUGAGGCGCGAAAGCGUGGGGAGCAAACAGG
rnacentral:rRNA from 1 species